UUGAACGCUGGCGGCAUGCUUUACACCUGCAAGUCGAACGGUAACAGGCCUUCGGGUGCUGACGAGUGGCGAACGGGUGAGUAAUGCAUCGGAACGUGCCCAGAGGUGGGGGAUAACGCAGCGAAAGCUGUGCUAAUACCGCAUGUGAUCUGAGGAUGAAAGCGGGGGACCAAGCAGCAAUGUUUGGCCUCGCGCCUCUGGAGCGGCCGAUGUCAGAUUAGGUAGUUGGUGGGGUAAAGGCCUACCAAGCCGACGAUCUGUAGCUGGUCUGAGAGGACGACCAGCCACACUGGGACUGAGACACGGCCCAGACUCCUACGGGAGGCAGCAGUGGGGAAUUUUGGACAAUGGGCGCAAGCCUGAUCCAGCAAUGCCGCGUGCGGGAAGAAGGCCUUCGGGUUGUAAACCGCUUUUGUACGGAACGAAAAGGCUCUGGCUAAUACCUGGGGCUGAUGACGGUACCGUAAGAAUAAGCACCGGCUAACUACGUG
rnacentral:rRNA from 1 species